rnacentral:rRNA from 1 species
GGCGAACGGGUGAGUUAAUGCAUCGGAACGUGCCCAAUCGUGGGGGAUAACGCAGCGAAAGCUGUGCUAAUACCGCAUACGAUCUACGGAUGAAAGCGGGGGACCUUCGGGCCUCGCGCGAAUGGAGCGGCCGAUGUUAGAUUAGGUAGUUGGUGGGGUAAAGGCUCACCAAGCCGACGAUCUAUAGCUGGUCUGAGAGGACGACCAGCCACACUGGAACUGAGACACGGUCCAGACUCCUACGGGAGGCAGCAGUGGGGAAUUUUGGACAAUGGGCGAAAGCCUGAUCCAGCAAUACCGCGUGCAGGAAGAAGGCCUUCGGGUUGUAAACUGCUUUUGUACGGAACGAAAAGGCUCUUUCUAAUAAAGAGGGCUCAUGACGGUACCGUAAGAAUAAGCACCGGCUAACUACGUGCCAGCAGCCGCGGUGAUACGUAGGGUGCGAGCGUUAAUCGGAAUUACUGGGCGUAAAGCGUGC